UACGUAGGGGGCAAGCGUUGUCCGGAUUUAUUGGGCGUAAAGAGCGUGUAGGCGGCCAGACAGGUCCGUUGUGAAAACUAGAGGCUUAACCUCUAGACGUCGAUGGAAACCGUCUGGCUAGAGUCCGGAAGAGGAGAAUAGAAUUCCUGGUGUAGCGGUGAAAUGCGCAGAUAUCAGGAAGAACACCCGUGGCUAAGGCGGUUCUCUAGUACGGUACUGACGCUGAGACGCGAAAGCGUGGGGAGCGAACAGG
rnacentral:rRNA from 1 species